rnacentral:rRNA from 1 species
CCAUAGGCCUAGGAUGCUGGAAUGCAUCUAGGCUCAAAGUUCCGGCGCCUAAGGAUGAGUCUGCGGACUAUCAGGUUGUAGUCAGGGUAAUGACCUGACUAGCCUACGACGGAUAUGGGUUGUGAGAGCAAUAACCCAGAGAUGAUAUCUGAGACACGAUAUCAGGCCCUACGGGGCGCAGCAGGCGCGAAAACUUCACACUGUGCGAAAGCGCGAUGAGGGAAUCCCAAGUGCUUGCUCGUAAGAGUAAGCUGUUUUUAUGUUUAAAACGCAUAGAGAGUAAGAGCUGGGUAAGACGGGUGCCAGCCGCCGCGGUAAUACCUGCAGCUCGAGUGGUGGCCGCUAUUAUUGGGCCUAAAACGUCCGUAGCCGGUUUAAUAAAUGCCUGGGUAAAUCGUGUAGCUCAACUAUACGAAUUCCGGGUAGACUGUUAAACUUGGGACCGGGAGAGGCUAGAGGUACUCCUGGGGUAGAGGUGAAAUUCUGUAAUCCUAGGGGGACCACCAGUGGCGAAGGCGUCUAGCUAGAACGGGUCUGACGGUGAGGGACGAAGCCCUGGGGCGCAAACCGGAUUAGAUACCCGGGUAGUCCAGGGUGUAAACGCUGCUUGCUUGAUGU